CCUCUGGUAGCUCACUUGGUAGAGCGGUGGACUGUAGAUCCGUAGGUCGCUGGUUCAAAUCCGGCACGGAGGA
rnacentral:tRNA from 1 species